rnacentral:rRNA from 1 species
AUUGAACGCUGGCGGCAGGCCUAACACAUGCAAGUCGAGCGGAUGAAGGGAGCUUGCUCCUGGAUUCAGCGGCGGUCGGGUGAGUAAUGCCUAGGAAUCUGCCUGGUAGUGGGGGAUAACGUCCGGAAACGGGCGCUAAUACCGCAUACGUCCUGAGGGAGAAAGUGGGGGAUCUUCGGACCUCACGCUAUCAGAUGAGCCUAGGUCGGAUUAGCUAGUUGGUGGGGUAAAGGCCUACCAAGGCGACGAUCCGUAACUGGUCUGAGAGGAUGAUCAGUCACACUGGAACUGAGACACGGUCCAGACUCCUACGGGAGGCAGCAGUGGGGAAUAUUGGACAAUGGGCGAAAGCCUGAUCCAGCCAUGCCGCGUGUGUGAAGAAGGUCUUCGGAUUGUAAAGCACUUUAAGUCGGGAGGAAGGGCAGUAAGUUAAUACCUUGCUGUUUUGACGUUACCAACAGAAUAAGCACCGGCUAACUUCGUG